AAGUCGUAACAAGGUAACCGUAGGUGAACCUGCGGUUGGAUCAUUUACGAUCUGCACCCUGACAAAGGGUCGAUCUACCUCUGUGCACCGUAGUACCGUACUUGGCGGCUGGGUCGUAUUCCGACCCGACGUUGUGGGGUUGGGUCAGAUGUCUCGCGAUGUCGCGACCCUUCCACCGACGUAUGCCGUCUGUCCAUACAAACAUCUUACACUUUUGACUGAUCAUCCGUCCAAUCGACGUAAAAAUAAAAACAACUUUCGACAAUGGAUCUCUUGGCUCUC
rnacentral:misc_RNA from 1 species